GAUGACAAAACGCCGCUACCCUGCGGGGUCUCUGGUUGCAGUAGUCCCCAGUAUAUGUCCACGUGUUUUUCAGGCAGUGCAUCCAUUAGAUAUAUUCCUGGGAGAUUGCGGGUCAGCUUGGUAGAACAGGCAUAGGAGGUGCCUCAAUUCUCCAGGAUUUUCACCUGACUUCUAUAGAAGUUUCGUCAAACAACUAUUUGAUCCGUCACAAUCUAGGCGGGUCCCAGACCCAAUUCACAGUUAAUUCUUAUUCCUUGUACUCUAACUUAAGUUUCUUAUGCCCUUUAAUUUAUUUGUGAAAGCAGAAUUUACUUAGACCAAGGACACGAAGUAAUUUAGCGUCUUCAAUCAGCAGUUUUUACGAAAAAGGUACUGCCUUACCUAUAAUUAUAUUGGCGCGCCUUGUGUCCUUCGUCCUUUCGUUCUGUUUCGUGUCCAAUUCCCGUUCCUUCUUCUCCAUCCCCACGUUGGGCGCCAAUUGUUGAAGCGAGGGUCCUCGAUCCUCCUUCGAGUGGGUCUGGAGUCAGGAACCUCAGAGUAAAAGUUAGUCAGAGUUUGAACCACAAAAAGUUCACACAAAGGGCAAAGUUUGUUUUCUCCUUCGCGAAGGGAGAAGCCCAGAUCAGUCACCCAGUAACGUGGCCGUCUCUGGAGCAUUCUGGGUGUUCCACCGCAACAGGCUGGAUUUAUUGAUACAUCUGUGAUGCAUGAAUCCUCAUAUCCAAUCACCACAAAGUACAUAUGCAUUUCUCCUAAUAAGGCAGAGUGACUUUUGCCACAGACAGAAGUAAUGUUUUUCUGCUCAGUGACUUUUACUUGACCUGUGAGACAGAUGCAGCCACUCUCACUUCCUGUUAUAGCUGUCUCCUGAUAUUCGUACUUCUAAAAGCACUUCUCGGUUUUAUUCUUUGCAUAUGAAAAACCCAAUACUUCUUCACCACC